GGAGGGUGCGAGCGUUAAUCGGAAUUACUGGGCGUAAAGGGCGCGUAGGUUGAUAGGCAAGUUGGAUGUGAAAUUCCUGGGCUUAACCGAGGCAUGUCAUCCAAAACGACCUAUCUAGAGUACAGUAGAGGGUAGUGGAAUUUCCGGUGUAGCGGUGAAAUGCGUAGAUAUCGGAAGGAACACCAGUGGCGAAGGCGACUGCCUGGACUGAUACUGACACUGAGGCGCGAAAGCGUGGGCAGCAAACAGGAUUAGAUACCCUGGUAGUCCACGCUGUAAACCGAUGAGUACUAGCUGUUGGAUAGUAUAACUAUUUAGUGGCGUAGCUAACGUGAUAAGUACUCCGCCUGGGAUACGGCCGCAAGGUUA
rnacentral:rRNA from 1 species